rnacentral:rRNA from 1 species
GCGGCGUGCCUCAUGCAUGCAAGAAAAAAGCAGCGGUCUUCGGACCGCUGAGUGGCGCACGGCUUAUCAUCACGCGGGAACGUGACAAGCAGUGGGGGAUAACGCGGCGAAAGCGGCGCUAAUCCCGCAUACGCUCGCAAGAGGAAAGCGCUCGCGCGCUGCAGGAGCGGCCCGCGGCCCAUCAGGUCGUCGGUGGGGUAACGGCCUACCGAGCCGAUGACGGGUAGCUGGUCUGUGAGGACAACCAGCCAGACUGGGACUGCGACACGGCCCAGACUCCUACGGGAGGCAGCAGUGGG